rnacentral:rRNA from 1 species
CAACCUACCUUUAUCAGGGGGAUAGCCUCUCGAAAGAGAGAUUAACACCGCAUAAAAUUAGAUUAUGGCAUCAUAAUUUGAUCAAAUAUUUAUAGGAUAAAGAUGGGCAUGCGGAACAUUAGCUAGUUGGUAAGGUAACGGCUUACCAAGGCGACGAUGUUUAGGGGAUCUGAGAGGAUGACCCCCCACACUGGUACUGAGACACGGACCAGACUCCUACGGGAGGCAGCAGUAAGGAAUAUUGGUCAAUGGGCGGAAGCCUGAACCAGCCAUGCCGCGUGCAGGAAGACGGCCCUACGGGUUGUAAACUGCUUUUGUACGGGAAUAAACCUUGGUACGUGUACCAAGCUGAAUGUACCGUAAGAAUAAGGAUCGGCUAACUCCGUG